rnacentral:rRNA from 1 species
UACGAAGGGGGCUAGCGUUGCUCGGAAUUACUGGGCGUAAAGGGCGCGUAGGCGGGCUGGCAAGUCGGUCGUGAAAUCCUUCGGCUCAACCGAAGAACGUCGAUCGAUACUGCUGUUCUUGAGGGUUGCAGAGGAGACUGGAAUUCCCGGUGUAGCGGUGAAAUGUGUAGAGAUCGGGAGGAACACCGGUGGCGAAGGCGGGUCUCUGGGCAAUUCCUGACGCUGAGGCGCGAAAGCGUGGGGAGCAAACGGG